UUAAAAAUCCCUCAAAACCACGUAAGUUACCACUCUCCUUUGCCUCCAAGGUUUUGCCCGUCUUCCACACUUUCUUUGCCUCCAAAAAUUUUAUCCCUAAAAUUAUUCAUUCCCUCCCUUAGUUGUAUAUGCUUAAUUGGCCCAAACCUAAUUGAAACUCUUCAAUUGAUGUGAAUUUCGGUUUCACUUGCAGUUCGAUUUUUGAGAAUUUCGGCUUCUGCUAUAGAUCGAUUUCUAUAAAUUUUGGCUUUAUCUACAAAUCAAUUUCUUUGAUAUUGUCUUCCAGGGAAUGCAAUUCUCUAUGAAUGUGUUUCAACAAUCAUGACCAUUGAAGAGAAUGGUGGUUUAAGAGUGCUAGCUGUCAACAUUUUGGGAAGAUUUUUAUCCAGCCGUGAUAACAAUAUCAGUUCACCUUCAUUCAUUUGGCUUGAACACUUUUCUCAGUUCAAGGACAUAAUUUGUUGUGGCUAUGCCAUUUGGAUUCUGGUCCAUUGAAGUUGUCUUUCUUGCACAUGCUUAAUGGCCUAAUCAAUCUUGAUUAAGGAUUAAGUACAUCAAAAGCCUAUCUCAAAUAUGCUCCCACCCAUAUCCUGGCCAAGUACUUUUUUAUAGAAUUUAAUUAAAAAGAAAUUUGACGACCACCUUGCAAAUCUUAUUUUUCUCUUAUGUUGCACAUCUAAUUGUUUUGGAUUGUAUUGUGUUUGCCUAGAUAUUGACACUUUAUAAUGCUUAAAGCUGCUAAAUCUGUUUACAUAAUGUAUUGUCUGAACGCUCUUUGAUUGGUGAUGCCAUGAAUGCUAUUAUUUUGAAGGAAAGAGCUCUUGACAUUGGUGCAUUAGAUGCAUAUGUGUUCUGAUAGAUUCUAGGUACCAUCAGAUGGUAUACCUAGACCAUUCACUUAUAAUUCUAAUAAAAGAAACUGAUAGUACUGAUAAGAUCUUAUGAUAUAUGCCUGAGGCCACCCCUUCAUGAUAAUUAGACUGCAAUUGCUUACUCACUGAGAAGGGUCCUUGAUUAGUUUGUUCUAAGAGUGACCAUGAUUUUCCAAGUUCUUAGCGUAUGAACAUAGCAUUUUAUUGACCCCAUGAACCAGAUAUAUACAUAUUUUUCACUCAUCAAUUUGCUUUCUUGACAUUUUUAGAACCUGAAAAUGAUGGUAGAACUUCUUAAAUAUUUGUUCUGGUCUAUUUCUAUGAUUAAUCCUUCCAAUUCCUUUCUUGCUGUGUACUAUAAUUUUUGCUGUCUUGUUACAUUUAAAUCAUAACAUGGACUGUUUGGCUUGAGUAUAGAAUGCUAAGGUUUGUCUUCAAUAUGGUGGACUUAGUAUUCUGUGCGUAGACAGCAGAUAAUAAUAGUACUUUUGUCCAAAACCAUUUAACACGAGCAAAAUCAAACUUAGCUAUGUGGUUCAAUUCAUCUCAAAAUCAGGAUUCUUUUACUCGUAAGGCCAAUUUGAAUUUGAAAUUAACAAGUAUGGAAAUGUACUCCCAAGCUAGAAAUGAGUUAAAAUACAUGUGCAUUGAAACUGUUAAACAUAGCAACUUCAAACCUAGCUCAAGAAAUAUUUCGAAAAACAUCUCUCACACAUCAAACUUUAAUAUGUUUGGGCUUAUUGUUGGAAACAUUGGGGCAUUCCCAGAUAAGCCGUUGUAGGCACUUGUCACAAUUAUAAAGAACUACUCGUAUGAAUAUGAAUUCCUUAUAUAUGUUCAUUAUUUUAUCUCUUUAUCAAUUAAUUUUGUUUCAACUAUUUUCUAAAGAGCAAGUAUUUAAAAAGAAAAAUUGGAAAACUCAUGUAAUAGGCACAAUAGAAAGUGAAAAUGUUCAUAGAGUUGAAGAAAAUAAUGAGGCAUUGGAAAAAGAAGUACAAUCAUCGUACUGGUUCACGUCCUUUUGAUUGCAUGGUCAAAAUGUGUUUGAGAGAUGAUUAUAUUUCUUAGCUUGUGUUAUAUCUCUUGUGUACAGUUGUGUUAUCUCUUGCAAACUUUGAUUUUACAGACUGUUUUAUAUAUCUUGUUGGUUAUGUUUGUAGGAUGAGAUACUUGUCAAAAAGUAUGAAUAUCUUAUAGAAUGGGCAAAGGAAUAGCAACUUCCUGAAGAUACCCCUUUGGAGGAGAUAUCGAUAGAUGAUCCCGAUGUCGGAAUUAAUAUCAUGAUGUCUGUUCUAGGUACGAAGCUCGGGCAUCGAAUUCUUGGGUUAGGAGAUGGUCGCCUUCGAGACAUUGGGAUAUCUUCUUCCAAUGUACACAAUUUGGAAGAGUUGGAAGCAGAACGUGCUACUCGAAAGGUAGCCAAUGUAGCUCGAGUAAAUAUGGCCCAAAAUAUGCAAAACAAGCUAAAGGUUGUUGAGCAACAAUUCAAUUCUACAUUACAAUCUUGGCAUUAUUCUAUGCAUCAACUAUGUGAUAAAGUUCCUAGCUUCAUUGUACCACCAUUUAUAUCAUUGUCAAUAGAGAAUAAUGGUAAUGAGAAAGAUAAUGCUAUUGAGAAUGAAGAGAAUAACUUUGGUGAGAAUCAGUGCAUGUCUAAUUCACGAGAAUGAAGAGUCAUGUUUUUUAUUUGCAUAACAAUAGAUAUAUAGCAUGUUUGUUCUGCUUAUUUUAACUUUAGAUGUAAUCAUACUUGGUGAAUGUCAUUUAUUCAUGUUUUGAUGAAAUAUUUUGGAUUCAA